rnacentral:rRNA from 1 species
CGAACGCUGAAGCUCCCAGCUUGCUGGGGGUGGAUGAGUGGCGAACGGGUGAGUAUCACGUGAGUAACCUGCCCUUGACUCUGGGAUAAGCCCGGGAAACUGGGUCUAAUACUGGAUAGGACUGGCCAUCGCAUGGUGGUUGGUUGAAAGCUUUUGCGGUUUUGGAUGGACUCGCGGCCUAUCAGCUUGUUGGUGGGGUAAUGGCCUACCAAGGCUUUGACGGGUAGCCGGCCUGAGAGGGUGACCGGCCACACUGGGACUGAGACACGGCCCAGACUCCUACGGGAGG